rnacentral:rRNA from 1 species
GCCCUUAGAGUUUGAUCAUGGCUCAGGACGAACGCUGGCGGCGGGCUUAACACAUGCAAGUCUAAGGCGAGGCCGACCUUCGGGUUGGUAGUAGACUGGCGCACGGGUGCGUAACGCGUAGACAAUCUGCCUAAAGGAGGGGGAUAACCCCGAGAAAUCGGGGCUAAUACCCCAUGAUGCAGCGGGGCCGCAUGGCCACAGUUGUUAAAACCCUUCGGGGGCCUUUAGAUGAGUCUGCGUCGCAUUAGUUAGUUGGUAGGGUAACGGCCUACCAAGGCGAUGAUGCGUAGGGGGUCUGAGAGGAUGAUCCCCCACACGGGCACUGAGACACGGGCCCGACUCCUACGGGAGGCAGCAGUGAGGAAUCUUGCGCAAUGGGCGAAAGCCUGACGCAGCCACGCCGCGUGCCGGAAGACGGUCCUAUGGAUUGUAAACGGCUUUUGAUCGGGAAGAAGGUACGGGUUUCGACCUGUAUUGACGGUACCGGUUGAAUAAGCACCGGCUAACUCCGUGCCAGCAGCCGCGGUAA